GUUUGCUUCCCUCCGUGGUGCUGUGUUUCCCUCUAGUGGUGCCUGAGCCCUGCAGGAAAGUGCAGCCGCCUGCAAGCUGGGCGUGAUGGCUUUCAGAGCUCACAGAACUCAUCGUUUCAGCGACCAAUCCAGGAAGGUGGCAGCAUGUCUCCAGAUGAACAUCCUCCUUAUUGACAUCAACAUUGCAGUGAAGGCAGCAUAUACAAAGGAAACUUUCUCAGAUUUUGAUGAAUUCUUGACAACAACCAUUGCCUAUACUUUGCAAGCUUGAAAGUUCAGAUGUGUUAGCUGUUCAUCUGUUCUUGUCCUGAGAAUUGAUUGUUUCAUCUGUGGGAGACUGCUGACAUGAAGAAAACACAGUAAUUAAAGUGAGGAGAGAGGAUGUCAGGCUUGCUUCUCCCUUUCAGAGGAACCAAGAACUUCUCCAGCAACAGUUUUGCUACAAAACAAACAUCAUUCCACUGGAUGCAGAAUUCAGACUGGCACAAGUAAAUAUGACUGAUAUAGACCCCCAGGAGGACAACCAUAGAGCUCCAUGGUGGAGAUCACUUUUCAUGUAAGAUUCUCAACCAUUUUCCAACAGAAUGCAAGGUUAAAUAGGAGUGUAUCCCUUGGCUCUCCUUUCACAGGUAAUAUCUGUCAUCUGCUGUCCUGCCCCAACCAACAGCCUCCAGCCCACAGGUUCCCACCGCUGUCCCAGAAAGCACACACUUGGUAGGGUGGCAGGGAGUGUGGCACAAGGAGGUGUGCUGUGCCAGGGCAUGGGGGUGCAAGAAUGCUGCUGCUGAGCCGAGCUGGCUGGGAAGAUCUCACGGGUGAGCUGGAGACGGCUUCUGUAAUUCAGAUUUUCCCACAGGGUAUAAAAUGAAUGGCAGUAGAAAUGUGAAUUCAGUAUAUAAUAAGUAAGUGGUUCUUAUUCUGCUGGAAGACAUGUAUGCUGGAGUGCUGGAUAAACCCUGAGAAGAGAGGACUCCCAGCUCAUCCCGUUGUUGGAAGGGAUUAGUCCUCUGCGAGCCCUUGGGGAUUACAGAUCAGCAUUCAGAAGAUGUGUCUGGCUGUGACUUAUGGUGUUCAAGGGCUUUGUGCCUACACUCAGCACUUACAGCUGCUAAGAUUUCUUUUGCUUGGUUUCUGAAGGUGGCAGAGAAUAGUUUUGCCAAGUCUUGUGGAUGCGCAGAAUAUCACAAACUGCUUUUUCCUGGAUCCACACAGGUGUGAUACUGAAAAACAGCAUUUGAGAGAAGGUGUCAUGUCCUUUUUGCUGAAGCAGAUCC
rnacentral:lncRNA from 1 species